rnacentral:lncRNA from 1 species
AAAAAUCUCUAAACCCAUCCGAGAGACUUUUUUGUGGCCAUGGCAGCCUCUCUCCAAUCCGCCGCCACAUUCCUCCAAUCGGCAAAGAUCGCCACCGCUCCUUCUCGCGGCGGUUCUCACCUCCGGUCUACUCAGACCGUCGGCAAAUCUUUUGGGCUAGAAACUUCUUCUGCUCGCCUCACUUGCUCCUUCCAAUCUGACUUCAAGGACUUGGCCGGAAAAUGCUCCGACGCUGUCAAAAUCGCCGGAUUCGCCCUCGCCACCUCUGCUCUCGUCGUCUCGGUAACUUUCUUUUAUCACCUACUCCUCUUCUCUCACAGAUUCAAGAGAAGAAUCGAAAACAGUGAAGAAAAGAAGAGUUGUGUAAUGUGUGUGUGUGUGUGUGUGUGAUAACAUAGUUCCGACUUUGAAUUUAAAUUAAACCGAAACACACAUAACAGAACAUCUAAACCAAUAAUUUUUAGAUUAGCCUAAUAGAAUGCGUAAACCAAUAUUCCUAUUCUUGUUUUUAGAUAUGUGUAGAUCCAAUCGAUAAAAAAUAUUCAUAGUUGUAAUCUUCAUUAGUCCCAAAUUUGUAAAUGCUCUCACACACCGAUUUUGAUGUUAUAUGAUUUUACAAAUUAGAAAUCAUAUAGGGAUCAACUUGUUGAAUUAAAGUUGUUUCUUUCUCUUGUAAUGGAAGGGAGCAAGUGCAGAGGGAGCUCCAAAGAGACUGACUUACGACGAGAUACAGAGUAAAACAUACAUGGAAGUGAAGGGAACUGGAACGGCCAACCAGUGCCCAACUAUUGACGGUGGCUCUGAGAUAUUCUCGUUCAAGCCCGGAAAGUACGCCGGCAAGAAGUUCUGCUUCGAGCCUACUUCCUUCACCGUCAAGGCUGAUAGUGUUAGCAAGAACGCACCUCCUGAGUUCCAGAACACCAAACUCAUGACCCGUCUCACUUACACCCUUGACGAGAUCGAAGGCCCCUUCGAGGUUUGAUUUGCUUCCACAGCAAGAAACUGCCUGCUUUGUGUUAGGGUUUAGGGUUUGUGAUUGAUCGAGUCUUUUUUUUUUGUUGGUUUCGAGCAGGUUUCUUCAGAUGGAAGCGUCCAAUUCAAGGAAGAAGAUGGUAUCGACUACGCUGCAGUCACUGUCCAGCUCCCUGGAGGCGAGCGUGUGCCAUUCCUUUUCACAGUUAAACAGCUUGACGCCUCUGGCAAACCAGACAACUUCACCGGAAAAUUUUUAGUCCCGUCAUACCGUGGCUCGUCCUUCUUGGACCCAAAGGGUCGUGGUGGAUCCACAGGGUAUGACAACGCCGUGGCGUUGCCAGCUGGAGGCAGAGGAGACGAAGAGGAGCUUGUAAAGGAGAACGUGAAGAACACGGCAGCUUCGGUAGGAGAGAUCACUCUGAAAGUGACCAAGAGCAAACCGGAGACAGGAGAAGUUAUCGGAGUGUUCGAGAGCCUUCAGCCUUCGGAUACUGACUUGGGUGCUAAGGUACCAAAGGAUGUCAAGAUCCAAGGGGUGUGGUAUGGUCAACUUGAGUGAUCGUGUUAUUAUAUUAAACAAUUUUAUGUUGAUUGUAUUUGCUGAUAAUGAGAACAUCUUUUGAUGCUUUAAUUUCUUCGCUUUUUCUCUCUUAUAAAAAAAUUGCACAUUCCCUAAAUCUUGAAUUUUUUUUUUUAAAAAUAUAGAUAUAUGUCCGUCAUGCAAAAAUUGUCUGUCGCUAAGAAAAAGGAGGAUACCAACCAUAAUCUUAUGGUCUAUUGACGAGAGAAAGAGCAUAAACUGUCACUUGUGCAGCUGAUGAUGAGUUCUUGUUAACCUCAUAAACUACACACUCAACUAUGAUUUAUCCGAACUAAAUCCGAACCGGCUUUUUUGCAAAUACAUUGGUGAUUUUGUUUUCUAACCGAAUUUAUUCCAAUGCGAACCAAGCCAAAAAUAUCAUAAAAUAAAAUAACCUAAAAUUAGGAUCAAUUUAUACUCUGGAGUAUUGAAUUGCGCUUUUAAAGUUUUAAACUUUUGGUACUUCACAUGAUAAUAAAUCGAAAAUUAAACCAGUGUUCAAACGCACAUCCCCAACCCCUAAUUGUUGGUUAAUGAAGAUUAAGACUGUUAAAAAAAUCAUCUGUGAUCUCUAGAAAGAAAGAAGUAGCCGUUGUCUUCUUUAAAAAAAAAAUAUAUACCAAUAUAUUGGGAUUUGUGAGAAACAAAAGAUUAAACCAAACUUCUACGCAAUUUUCUACGGUCGCACACGAAUAUACUGGAUCCGUACGUGAUACAUUAUAUAAUGUUUGGGCCUUAAACCAUGCUUAUCAAGUGAUCAGCCCCAAACAUGAUGGGCUUUGUCGGUAUUCCCCAAAUAUGUAUAACCACCGCACAAUUCUUUUCUGUUUCGUCUUUGGUAAAACUCGUCGAAUUAAGAAUUUCAGUUAUAUUAAACCCAUUACUGAUCAAAAGCAGUUUUAGUUUUCUUGAACUCGAGUUGACUUGAUACAAUGUUGUUUUUGGGAGAGACUCAUUUACAAAAGUUCUUAAAUAACUAGAUCCUUUUUACCAUCAGGAAUUCUGUACCAAAAUCCACACUAACUCCCGAAGCGUGUGGAGUACCAAUUUUUGUCUUCAUUUAAACCAUUGACAGUUGCUAAUUAUGACCGAUUAGUACCAAAAAAUAUUUGAAUCCAUGACCCGCAAGCCGUAAUAAGACUUUUAACCAUGGAACCACAAUGAAUUUAGCAAAAUUUUACAAUAAAACCACUUGGCUGAUCGAUGAAUAUAAAAAUGACUGAAAUAAUUGGGGUAUAGUACUUUGGAGAUAUAGUUCUAUGAAAUUAGUUAAAUAGACUGGCGAGUAGCAACUAGCAAGUGGAAAAUAAUUAAUAUUUCAUUUGCUGUAAAUAAGUUAGUCUAAUCAGCUUGCUCUUUAUGGACCUUACCCUGUAUUUAAUGUGCAUGGGUGUGAAUAUUAAAAGAUAAACUGUGUUUAACUUAUAAAUAAAACAUAUUGGUCUGUGCUUUGUCUUAAAUCUCGUGACAUGAAAUAACACAGACAAUUGCAUUGGCGUGGGACAGCACAUAACAAUGCAGAUCGCAGACAGAAGUCUUAAACCACUGGAUUAGUAUAACUAAUAAAAUUAUUUAAUUUUAGCUCUAUUUUAUAUACUAGAGAGAUCGGAUUCAUCGCAAAGUAUAGUACAAACCUUGCAUUCACUCGCCAACCAAAUUUCAAGAUAUUGUAACUGUAGACUCUAUAAGCGUGUGUAGUAUCAUCUUAUCACAUGUUCUAAAUCUAAAAUCACCUUGUUCUGAAGAAUGUUAAAUUCGAUUUUACGGAUAAUCGAACAAUUCAUAAAAAAAGUUUAUAUUAGAAGACAGUAACAAGGAAUUUCAAAUAAAGUUACCAAAUAAAGUGAAUUUGAAAUAGCGACAAAACAUGCCUCGAGCCCAAAAUGGAACACUUCGAAAUCAAAAUUGUACAACUGUCCAAUUUCACCUCAUGUAAUAACCAUAUAUUGUUAGCCUGCUUAUAUAUGUAAUAUCACCACCGUGGGGGAUUACUAUCCACUAAAUCUGCGAACCACGUUUUUUUGUUGUUGUUUGGACGCAGCAAGUUGCCAAGUCAUGCGAACCACGAUUUGAGAAA